CAGGUGUUCUUGGGGAGCUCGGGGAGCCGGGCUGAGAGUGCGACCGAUCCGUCGCAGACCCUUUGCACCCGAUCCAGGUAAUACUGGCGUGGGGAGCAAGGACGCUCGUAUC
rnacentral:ncRNA from 1 species